rnacentral:lncRNA from 1 species
AGAAAGGGCGGGGUGGAGGAGGGGGAAGGGCGGGGGUGAUGCCGCGCGGUCGCAGGCUUGGGAUGGUGUUCGCGCCUCCGAGACCCGGACAGAGGCAAGCAGGGGCGCCGUGGGUGCCAGAGAGGCGGAAGAGGAGGCCUGAUGGGGGAUACCUUCCUGCUGUCCUUCCUGAGCACAACCUGGCUGAAAACCUGGAGGUCACAACAGUACAAAGAAUCAAAGUCAAGAUCUUGUGCCAGAGAGCAAAUGAACUCUUCCUCUUGCUGAGAAAACCCACCCUGCUCACCUAAACCCUGGCCUUGCCUGGUAAUUCCAUCCAUGCGCCUGGAAGGCCCCAGACAUCAAGGCUCUGAGGGGCCAGGCACGGGGAGAACCCAGCAGUGCCCUGCCCUGCAGUCUGAGCUACCAGAUUCCUUGUGAAGAUAAUUUGAGGACCAUGACUCACCCAACCACAUUUCCUGGGGCCUCAAAUUGAAAAUUCAGGAUGGGCUUUUCUAUAUGACUGGCUGAUAUCCAACUAUGCCAUGGUCUUUACAUGCCAUGAACAUUCUUUCCUGCCAGAGUUCUAAGAAUCUGUGUUCUCUGCCUUAGACCUUCUGCAGAUGAGCCCACAGGAAGCUCCACGUGUAGCUGAGCUACAUGCACCAGGCCUCAGUUUGCCCCAAGUCCCCUGUGUACUCUCUCAUGGCCUGUGGCCAAGAAAUGUAUUCUCUCACUUUGGACUUAGGAGUCCAAAGAGAAGCCCAGAAACAAAA